ensembl:snRNA U6 U6 spliceosomal RNA
GUGCUCACUUCAGCAGUACAUGUACUAAAAUUGGAAUAAUGCAGAAAUUAGCAUGGCCCCUGGCAAGGAUGACAUGCAAAUCUGUGAAGUGUUCCAUAUUUUG